rnacentral:lncRNA from 1 species
AUUCCUGAUCAGCAGCAAACUAAUAUUACUGAAAUUAUACAUUAAAAAUGUCAAAAAUAAACAUAUUAACACAAGUAGUCUUACCUAUCAAUAUUUUUCCAGUAACAAGAAACUAUUUUGAAAACAUUAACAGGCCAUACAUCUUUUGCAGAAUACAAAUAAGUAAUAUCAUGAAGUGGUAAACACCAAUAUGGUACUCAUAUGUAAGAUAAAUCUGGAAGAAAAGGCAAUACUGAUUUCUAGGAGGUGGCAAACAACAAUUUAAUAUUUGAUAUCAAUUUUCAACAACAAAAUGUCGAUAUCAAUUUUCGCUAAUGGCCUUCACUCUUCUCUAUAAAUUACUCCAAGAAAGUUGAAUAGCAACCACGAAAAGAGAGUUGGGAAAUCCCAAGAACUAUAAUAUCAAUUUCAUCAAAAAACAUCAACGUCAAUUCGGAAAAAGGUCUUUGCUAACAUACGGAACCACUUCAAGAAUGUCUCACGCAAAAAGAGGGCGAGAAAUUCCAUGGAGACACUCUGAUACUCAAGUUGGUAAAAGGAUAAUAAAACCUGAUAAGACAAUGAAUCAAGAAAAUAUUUAAGAACGUAAUUGACCAUAUCUUAGAACCUUGUAGGAC